UGGGGAAUAUUGGACAAUGGGCGGAAGCCUGAUCCAGCCAUGCCGCGUGUGUGAAGAAGGCCUUUUGGUUGUAAAGCACUUUAAGCGAGGAGGAGGCUCUCCUAGUUAAUACCUAGGAUGAGUGGACGUUACUCGCAGAAUAAGCACCGGCUAACUCUGUGCCAGCAGCCGCGGUAAUACAGAGGGUGCGAGCGUUAAUCGGAUUUACUGGGCGUAAAGCGUGCGUAGGCGGCUGAUUAAGUCGGAUGUGAAAUCCCUGAGCUUAACUUAGGAAUUGCAUUCGAUACUGGUCAGCUAGAGUAUGGGAGAGGAUGGUAGAAUUCCAGGUGUAGCGGUGAACCCG
rnacentral:rRNA from 1 species